rnacentral:rRNA from 1 species
GAUGAACGCUAGCGGCAGGCCUAAUACAUGCAAGUCGAGGGAGAAUGUUGGAUUCGUCUGACAUGAAACCGGCGCACGGGUGCGUAACACGUAUGCAACCUACCUUUAACUGGGGUAUAGCUCAGAGAAAUCUGAAUUAAUCCCCCAUAAGACUACGACAUGGCAUCAUGAUGUAGUUAAAGCUCCGGCGGUUAAGGAUGGGCAUGCGGUACAUUAGCUAGUUGGUGAGGUAAUGGCUCACCAAGGCUACGAUGUAUAGGGGGUCUGAGAGGAUGAUCCCCCACACUGGUACUGAGACACGGACCAGACUCCUACGGGAGGCAGCAGUAGGGAAUAUUGGUCAAUGGACGCAAGUCUGAACCAGCCAUGCCGCGUGAAGGAUGAAGGCCCUAUGGGUCGUAAACUUCUUUUAUUAGGGAAGAAAAAACGGGAUGCGUCCUGUACUGACGGUACUUAAUGAAUAAGGAUCGGCUAACUUCGUGCCAGCCGCAGUAACAC